AAGCUCGUAGUUGAAUUUCGGGAUCAGACUGUCGGUCGUGCCUCGGUACGCACUGGCAUUAUUGGUUCCUACCUUCUGAAGAACCGCGAUGUCAUUAAUUUGGUGUCGCGGGGAAUCAGGACUGUUACUUUGAAAAAAUUAGAGUGUUUAAAGCAGGCGCACGCUUGAAUACAUUAGCAUGGAAUAAUGAAAUAGGACGUUUGAUUCUAUUUUGUUGGUUUCUAGGAUCGACGUAAUGAUUAAUAGGGAUAGUUGGG
rnacentral:rRNA from 1 species